rnacentral:rRNA from 1 species
GCCUUAGUAGCGGCGAGUGAAGCGGCAAUAGCUCAAAUUUGAAAUCUGGCGUCUUCGGCGUCCGAGUUGUAAUUUGAAGAAGGUAUCUUUGAGGCUGGCUCUUGUCUAUGUUCCUUGGAACAGGACGUCACAGAGGGUGAGAAUCCCGUGCGAUGAGAUGCCCAGUUUCGUGUAAAGUUCCUUCGACGAGUCGAGUUGUUUGGGAAUGCAGCUCUAAGUGGGUGGUAAAUUCCAUCUAAAGCUAAAUAUUGGCGAGAGACCGAUAGCGAACAAGUACUGUGAAGGAAAGAUGAAAAGAACUUUGAAAAGAGAGUGAAAAAGUACGUGAAAUUGUUGAAAGGGAAGGGCUUGAGGUCAGACUUGGUUUACCAGGCCAGCAUCAGUUUGGGUGGCAGGAUAAUAGCUAAGGAAAGUGGCACGAUUUCGGUUGUGUGUUAUAGCCUUGGUUGAUACUGCCUGCCUAGACUGAGGACUGCGUCUUUGACUAGGAUGCUGGCAUAAUGACCUUAAGCCGCCCGUCUUGAACCCGGGGACCAGAAAA